AUACAGCAACAGAAGCCGACAUGACGCAUGAAAGCAUCACAGAAAGCAAAGAAGCCCAACAUUUCAGAAAAGGAAGAGAGUAGGAGAGGCGAUGGCGGACCCCAGAUCCUUCCCAUUUGAUUGACCCCCAACUGGAAGGUGUUAGGUGAGACUGUCUUCACUAAAUGACUCAGAAAAACCCAAAUGGCUUCAAGGCAAAAGGCAACCUCAUCAUCUGUUAUCUAUCCAGCUUUGAGUUUUCCUUUCUCCAGGAUCAAUAAUCUCUUACUUUGCACUCAUUCCUUCCCUCCUGACACCCAUCAGGUAAAACACCUAUAAUCACUCAUCAGAACCUGCUCACUGGAAUUAAAAUUUUACUUGUCUCA